rnacentral:SRP_RNA from 1 species
CGGUAAGUCCUACACGACCAGCUCCCUUUGAACUCCCCCAGGACUUGACCGUAGCAAGGGUAGGAGGUUGUAGCGGUGCGAUGUAGGUAGCUUACCUUUC